CAACAUGUGGAAGGAUAACGCGUUAAUAUUCAAGUUUCCAGCGGGUGCCUGCUCGGCGGUGAGGAAACAGAUUCCAGAUUUCUACCAAGUCAUGUUCAAACUGAACAAAGAUGACAAAGGGACGUGCGUAAUCCCCGCGAAAGAUUACGAGGUGAAGAAUGAACCUGUCAACUGGGUGUUCCCCAGUGUGCCCAUCAUGCAAUAUGGAGAAUAUCGAUUCCGCAUAAGUGCGGGGUUGCCCAGGGUGAAAAUACCCUACCUUUGCCUCGUAGCGGAAUGCCACGUCGUUCCCGUGGCAUGAACGCCGCCAUAAGAACCGGAUUGCGUUUUGCAGGCUUUGCUGUGGAACUGGACUUAACCUAACCAUCGCAGGCGACCGCGGCUCUCCGCUACGCCCUCGAAUAGGCCUUCGACGUGAAACCCUGCAACUUGCAACUGCCGGC